rnacentral:rRNA from 1 species
UACGUAGGGUGCAAGCGUUAAUCGGAAUUACUGGGCGUAAAGCGUGCGCAGGCGGUUUUGUAAGACAGAUGUGAAAUGCCCGGGCUUAACCUGGGGAACUGCAUUUGUGACUGCAAGGCUAGAAUCUGGCAGAGGGGGGUAGAAUUCCACGUGUAGCAGUGAAAUGCGUAGAGAUGUGGAGGAACACCGAUGGCGAAGGCAGCCCCCUGGGCCAAUACUGACGCUGAGGAGCGAAAGCGUGGGGAGCGAACAGG